rnacentral:lncRNA from 1 species
GGCCGGGUAGGGGCUCGGGUCCUACCUUGUUUUACUCCCAUUGUCCGAAUUCUGCUCCUCGCGGUGAGGACGAAGGCGUGGUCAUGGCUUCACAGCGGGAGCUGGCGGCCAACGCUGGCCUCCAGGACAAGACAGAUUUAGAGCCCAGGGCGUGGGUCGCGCUAGGGGCGGGAAGGAGUGCUCGGCGGCGCCCAGGCCCUGGCGCCCAAGCUCUUCCACAAAGUUUCCUAUGGGUGCUCAUCAGAAACUCUUCAGCCUGUCUGCCGCAUUAAACUCUUGCUUCCCAGAGCUCCCGAAUUCAGCAAGCAACUUAAGGCAGUGUCCCUUCCGCAAUCAUUCGGACCUUUCAAGGUGUUGGUUUGCUUUUGGUAACAGAAGAAAUGAUCAAACAAUUCUACACUGUGUGAUGCUGACGCUCCCUUGAUAUAUCAAUAGCCACUUAAACCAACCCACAGUUCAGUAGCUUAGAAUUGUAAUGUUAUUAGAAGCCUUAAAAAAAAAAAAUGUAUCGUGCAUAGUGUUCUGUCCUCGAGUAUCCUCUGCAAUGCCAGAAGAGAGCACCGGAUCCCAUUACAGAUGGCUGUGAGCCAUCAGUGGUUGCUGGGAAUUGAACUCAGGACCUCUGGGAGGCCAGCUAGGUCCCUAACCACUGAUCCAUCUCUCCAGACCCUAUUAGAAGCCUUUUGAUGAACUUUCAGAACUGAAUUCUGCUGACUUCUAUUGGUCACAUUAAAUUCAGACCAGCUCACGUAAAACGGGAAAGGAGCUGUUACUCCACCUCCUGAUGAACUUCGAAGAAUUUGUGGCUGUCAUUGAUAUAUCACAGGAUGUACUGGGCCUUUUGUCAAGAGAUCCAUUUUGCCCCCUCUGCCAUGGAUUUAGGUUCAGUCAGGGGCUUGCGUUGCCAUAGAAACAAUAUGCCAAAAAUAAAUCACUGCACACAUAAAACUGAAGGAAAAGUUCUUUGUGAAAUCAUGCUGCCAAACUGGGUCUAAGAACCAAAUGAGAGCUGGCCUCAAAUAGAUUUCACUAACUUAUACUGUCAUCCUUAAAUCUUUUAGGUCCCAGCCCCAGGUUACACUUUGAACAUUUAAACAGUGGCAGGAGACUUGCAAGUCUAGCCACCUGGUCAGAUGGAAGAUUUACACAGCAAUAUAUUGCUGUGUAAAUCAGUGUUCUUCCCAAAUAGAUGUGACCCACUGAUUAAGUAAAUCAGUGUACUUCUUCCCAAAUAGAUGUGACCCAGGGUCAUGUUGCCCUUCUGGCAGAAUUACGCUUUUCUCAAGAAAAGAAACUGGGAACUUUAUAGCAGGCCAGGACUUAACAUCUGUUGUGCUGCCCCCGGAACUGCC